GCCUAACACAUGCAAGUCGAACGCGAAAGGGGCUUCGGCCCUGAGUAGAGUGGCGAACGGGUGAGUAACGCGUGGGUGACCUACCUUCGAGUGGGGGAUAACGUUCCGAAAGGAGCGCUAAUACCGCAUGACGUUCCGGGUUUGAACAACCUGGAAACCAAAGCCGGGGACCGCAAGGCCUGGCGCUUGGAGAGGGGCCCGCGUCUGAUUAGCUAGUUGGCGGGGUAAUGGCCCACCAAGGCGACGAUCAGUAGCCGGCCUGAGAGGGCGGACGGCCACACUGGGACUGAGACACGGCCCAGACUCCUACGGGAGGCAGCAGUGGGGAAUUGUUCGCAAUGGGCGCAAGCCUGACGACGCAACGCCGCGUGGGGGAUGAAGGUCUUCGGAUUGUAAACCCUUGUCGAGCGGGACGAACGGCUCACGAGCUAAUCAUCGUGAGAGUGACGGUACCGCUAAAGGAAGCCACGGCUAACUCUGUGCCAGCAGCCGCGGUAAUACAGAGGUGGCAAGCGUUGUUCGGAAUUACUGGGCGUAAAGGGCGCGUAGGCGGCUCGCUAAGUCAGACGUGAAAUCCCCCGGCUCAACCUGGGAACUGCGUCUGAUACUGGCGAGCUGGAGUGCGGGAGAGGGAUGUAGAAUUCCAGGUGUAGCGGUGAAAUGCGUAGAUAUCUGGAGGAAUACCUGUGGCGAAGGCGGCAUCCUGGACCGACACUGACGCUGAGGCGCGAAAGCUAGGGUAGCAAA
rnacentral:rRNA from 1 species